GUGUACAAAAAUAUUUUUAAUAAAAAACCAUAACAGAAAUUUUCUUAAAAAUUAAUUUCUUCUUUUGAUAAAAGAAAUUUUUGUACUUAAUAUAUUUUUAUUUAAAAUAUUGGAUUGUUUUUAGUCCGUGGUCUGUUUUUAAUGAAUGUAUUUCAAUUAGUAUACUUCAACGAACUAGUUAAUCACGAUAGUUUGCCAAUAAAUUAUUACGCACUUCAUGCAAGUUGUCACUUUAAUGCAUGGUCAUAUUAACAAACAAUUAUGACGGCGGCAAACAUGUACGAAGGCCGAGGGUCAAUUCGACCUAAUCUAUUUCAUUGACUAAAUUUAAUAGUUAAUUGAAUUUAUAAAGCGCUCGAUAGAAAUGUUUUACUAGUAGUUAUAAAUUGUAAAUAAAUUCUUCGGUGAAUGAUAAAAGUAUGAAAACAUACCUGUGGUUUAUAUAAAUUUUCUAUCAACAAAUGUUUGCAAUAAAAUUGAUAAAAAUCUGGUAAAUAUUCAAACUUAUAAAUAGUUGAUUUGCGAUUUGAAAAAAAAAUUAGAUAAAAGAGUUGGAUUAUCUUGAAAGCCAAGGUCAUCAUUGCUAUUCUAUUCGAUGCAAAUAUUCCAACUAAUAACGACAGUGCAUAGAUAAUACGUCAUCCAAUUAUUGGAGCUGAAAAGAAAAAUCACUCAGCCACCAAGUGUCGAUUAUUAUUAUAACUUAUUAAUGUUUUACUGAAUAAAAAUCUAUUUCGGUGUAACAAAAACAAAUGUUUGAUAUAUCUGUCAUAAAUAUCAGAAAUUAAUAAAGUACUUUCUCUUAAA